CUGGAACAUGUGCAGUGCUCCGGGCUCCCCCAUAAUGAGACUCACUGGAACAUACGCAGUGCUUCCUCCAUAAUGAGACUCACUGCAACAUGCGCAGUGCUUCCCCCAUAGUGAGACUCACUGGAACAUGCGCAGUGCUCCCCCAUAAUGAGACUCACUGGAACAUGCGCAGUGCUCCCCAUAAUGAGACUCACAGGAACAUGCGCAGUGCUUCCCCAUAAUGAGACUCACUGGAACAUGCGCAGUGCUCCCCCAU